rnacentral:rRNA from 1 species
CCUACGGGGGGCAGCAGUGAGGAAUAUUGGUCAAUGGACGAGAGUCUGAACCAGCCAAGUAGCGUGAAGGAUGACUGCCCUAUGGGUUGUAAACUUCUUUUAUAAAGGAAUAAAACGAGGCACGUGUGCCUUUUUGCAUGUACUUUAUGAAUAAGGAUCGGCUAACUCUGUGCCAGCAGCCGCGGUAAUACGGAGGAUCCGAGCGUUAUCCGGAUUUAUUGGGUUUAAAGGGAGCGUAGAUGGGUUGUUAAGUCAGUUGUGAAAGUUUGCGGCUCAACCGUAAAAUUGCAAUUGAUACUGGCAGUCGUGAGUACAGUUGAGGUAGGCGGAAUUCGUGGUGUAGCGGUGAAAUGCUUAGAUAUCACGAAGAACCCCGAUUGCGAAGGCAGCUUACUAAACUGUGACUGACAUUGAUGCUCGAAAGUGUGGGUAUCAAACAGGAUUAGAUACCCUGGUAGUC